UAUGGCCACAGCAUCUUGAAAGACCAGUUCCUGUAUGAUCACUGAUGUUAAGCAAUGUCAAGCCUGGUAAGUAUCUAGAUGGGUGGCCACUUGGGAAUACCGGGUGUGGUAA